rnacentral:lncRNA from 1 species
UCAUAAUAUUUUUUUUUUCUUUCACAAAAUGCCUAUUGGAUGGCGAAACAUAGCCUUAGGUGUUGCUUUUCCUGUGGUGAUGGCAGCGUCAACAACUGUCAAGUUUUCUAUUAAGUCAGUUUGAUAGGAAAUACUGUGAUUUGUGAUAUAUCAAUGUAUUUAUAUACAGUUGCAUUACAAUCAUUUAAUAUCAUUUUGAUGACUAUUUCGAGACCCCCUCUCUUCACCCUGCCUAGGUCAUAGUCCAGGAACUUUAAAAUUAAUUAGCAAUUCACAAUGUUACGUUUUUUAACUUGUGAAAGAUCCAUUAUGUCUAUAUACAGUAGCAUUACUAUAAUGUAUUAUAAUAUUAUAUCAGUUUGAUGACUAUUUAGAGACCCCCCCCCCCUCCCAGUCAGGAUCUAAUGACUGAAUUAAUUUCAUGGAAGGUUUAAAAAAAAAAUAUUCAUGUGAUUUGGAAUCUUUGUUGAUUCUAAAAUCAAUAAUUUUAAAAGAUUUAAGGUAGGAUUUUUCAAAUUGGUAUUACCAGGGGGGGAAAAUAUGCCUGGUUCAAAAAGUUCAUGCAGUUGUAGAGAAUAAGGUUAAAAUAUUUAAAAUAUCAUAUUCCAUUAGGUUAUAUGGAAUCUUGAAAAUAAUUCUCUGUGCUCUUGAAAACUAAAAGAUAUGAUAUGUGUAGCCAUUGUGUAACUACAGACAUCCAAGACAAAAAAGGAUGAAAUUUAUAGUUUUUUAUUGAAUAAACUCUACAGAGAAC